UACAGAGGGUGCAAGCGUUAAUCGGAAUUACUGGGCGUAAAGCGUGCGUAGACGGUUGCGUAAGUCAGAUGUGAAAGCCCCGGGCUCAACCUGGGAAUUGCAUUUGAGACUGCGUAGCUAGGGUGCGGAAGAGGGAAGCGGAAUUUCCGGUGUAGCGGUGAAAUGCGUAGAUAUCGGAAGGAACACCGGUGGCGAAGGCGGUUCUCUGGGCCUGACCUGACGCUGAGGAGCGAAAGCGUGGGGAGCGAACAGG
rnacentral:rRNA from 1 species